GCGGGAUGUCGCGGCGAGAUCCAGCGCCUUGGCGCACAACCCAAGACUCACAGGAGGACAGUGGACAGGUCCUUUCCCCCUGCCUAACGUUGUAUCUGAGGAUUUUUAAAUCAAAGGACUACAAGCACAUACCCCGGCCCAAACUCUCAGCAUCUGAAUCCUGCUUCCUGCUUGUUGGAAUAAAGGACCUGUUUCCAACUACAGAUGCUGAAGGGGUCACAUCCUCCUUCUCCCUGUCCCUGACAGUUGAGGCUCCUCAAGAGUGGCUGCACCAGCUUAGAUCCCCGUGAUGGUGAUUACUUCUUAGAUGUGCCCAUGGGCUCCUCGGGUGAUACUGGUGACGACCCCAACACUAAGCAGUCUGACUGAAUGUCUACAACCUCACCAGGCAACAAUUUCAACAGAAAAACUGGAAUGUGACGGAGGAAGGACUCUAGGGGAAAAGGCCUCGUCUGCCAAAGAAGAAGAAUAAUAACAAAGAUGACAGUAGGAAUAAAAUAUUGCCCUCUUCAUCAAGGGUGAUAAGGAAGUAUCCAGUUAUAUGUGUUGAGCCUUCUCACUCUCCAUAUACAUAUGUUAGAACUUUAGAAUUUAGCCCAGGUUUGAUUUGAACUUUCUGUCCUGUGGUCGUCUUGAGUGUACUGAACAAAUUGGGCUACAUGUCUCACCUUUGGUUUCAGAAAAUAGGACCCCAAUUACAGCACUUCAUGUUGACCUAGUACCUUAAAUGUCUGAGUAUGAACCUCUUUCCUGGAGGGUGUGUCUGUGAAAUGUGUGCCCCCAGUGCCUGGCAUGGGGCCUAGCCUUUGGAAACUAGGGCAGAGGGACUGUGAUAUAAAUGGGUGAGGCAGGGAGUCCUCCAGCUCCCUAUCUCUUGGCUGAGGAGUGGGAUGAACCCCGGAUGACUGCAUGAACCUUUCCUUCCCCUUGGUGCUCCUGGGGGCAGGGACAGGAAGUUUUAUGCAGGGAGAAACCCCAAUAAGACUCAGCCUCUCUGUUGAUUUCUGCAAAUGCCUCAUGUUCCAAGGGAAUCAUUUGCCCACUUCUGGGCCAGCUGUAUAUGAGUUUGCUCUCUCCCCUCCUAAGGGGAGGUCCAUGUUACCUGAAGAAACUUAACCUUUUGCUAUUUCUAUUAAACUUCCCUUUUUGGUUAAGAAGGUGAUGAGGUAGAAGAAUGUCCCUGCCCUGAUCACUCUUCCAGUCUUCCUUGAUUCAGAUAUACAGAUACUUUUUCUCCUUCUCCUCUCCCUCCCGCUCCUUCUCCUUGUUCCUCUGUUCUGCAGACUAACUUCCCAAAGCUGACGGUAAUAAGGAGAGGUGAAUCCAGUCUGUUCCUAAAGAAGCCCUCCUCCACUACGUUAAACAAAUUUUCACUCUGCUGAAUAACUUUCAGUAGCUCCCUAUUGUCAUCAAUUUACGUUUCUAACAUUAAAGCCCAACUUUAAUAUGAGCUGUCUUGAACUUUGUUCUUUGUGAUUUCCCAAUGCUCUCUCCCCGGAGUCAACUGGCCUUCCCAAUGUAUUCACUUAGAGGAGAUGAGUGGUUGGAGAGGCAUUUAAGGCAAAACCAACAACUAAAAGAGAGAAAGGGCAGGCGGGUCAACCCUCAGAAGUCACCCCUACUCAUCAGAAUGCUGACAAUAAAGAUGCACAUUACAGUGCAUUAGCACCACGCCUGAGAGACAACUGUGAUGGCCACAAAGUGCUGAACCACCAUCAUAAUCACCAUCAUCAACUGAACAACUAGGGCUUUCUAAAAUCUAAGGUUUAGAUCUAUGGAGUAAUAAAACAGGAACAAUGGAAAGGCCUGUGAACACCCUCUUUGAUGGAGGUGGGAAGCUAUAGUCAUCAAUACGUCUACUGAACUGAGGUACUUGCAAUGCCCAUGAGACCUGGAGUCUGGUGUGGCAGGAGUCAGUUUUCCCUUUUCUGUUCAAAUGGUGCCUGUG